rnacentral:rRNA from 1 species
GACGAAGGGGGCUAGCGUUGUUCGGAAUUACUGGGCGUAAAGCGCGUGUAGGCGGUUGUCCAAGUCGGGUGUGAAAGCCUUGAGCUCAACUCAAGAAAUGCACUCGGUACUGGGUGACUAGAGGACCGGAGAGGAUAGUGGAAUUCCCAGUGUAGUGGUGAAAUACGUAGAGAUUGGGAAGAACACCAGUGGCGAAGGCGGCUAUCUGGACGGUUUCUGACGCUAAGACGCGAAAGCGUGGGGAGCAAACAGG